CAUACAAUGUUUUGAAUGUAAGAAAAUAUUUUUAACAGUGAUAAUUGGAUAGAGAACAAAACAGGUGCUAAUCAUAAGGUGAAAGGUCUGGUCAGGUGGAGAAUUAAUAUAUGUAUGUAGCAAUGUACCUGCUCUACAGUAGUGUGUCACUUUCCCUUUAGACCAUAUUCCUUGCCAGGAUGCAGGCAAUGUGCAUAAUGUGCGACGUAACUUUAUGAGCAACCGAUAUAGGAAUGAAGGACAAAGAGAAAGAAGAGGAAGGCCGUAUUAUGAAGCUACAACUGAUUUUAAUUAUUUUUUCUCAUUUCAUCUUUUAAAAAAUUGAUCUUUUAUGGGUGUACAAGGUCGCUGCGGUCAUGAGUCCAUUGUUGCGCUUCGGCACACCUGACACGAUUCGAAGAACCCAUUCAAACCCAAAAUCCUCCAUCUUUCUAAAUUUUAUUAUAGUUAUACGCUAUAGCAUACGCUAUUCUUCUGAUUUUUGAAUUGUGGUUAAUUUUUUAAUAUACGUAGGUUGAUGUUGGAAGACACUCGCGAUGACUACGUUCUUCUUAAAACAUGUAAAAUAAAUUGUUAGGUGAUAGAAUUUUUGUAUAGAUAU